rnacentral:rRNA from 1 species
CUACCCUUGACAUACUGGAAAGCCCACCUAAUAGUGGGUGUGCCUUCGGGAAUCCAGAUACAGGUGCUGCGUGGCUGUCGUCAGCUCGUGUCGUGAGAUGUUGGGUUAAGUCCCGUAACGAGCGCAACCCUUGUUCUUAGUUACCAGCGCGUCAUGGCGGGAACUCUAAGAAGACUGCCGGUGAUAAACCGGAGGAAGGUGGGGAUGACGUCAAGUCAUCAUGGCCCUUAUGGGUAGGGCUACACACGUGCUACAAUGGGGCGUACAGAGGGUUGCCAAGUCGUGAGACGGAGCUAAUCCCACAAAGCGCCUCGUAGUCCAGAUCGAAGUCUGCAACUCGACCUCAUGAAGUCGGAAUCGCUAGUAAUCGCAGAUCAGAAUGCUGCGGUGAAUACGUUCCC